CCCCCGGUUUAAGCGUGUAGGCGUGCCCCUUAGGCAAAUCCGGGGGGCUGAGCUGAGGCGUGACGACGAGGAACCACGGUUCCGAAGUGAUUGAUACCAAGCUACCAGGAAAAGCCACUAAGCUUCAGUCUAGAGUUGACCGUACCGCAAACCGACACAGGUGGGCAGGAUGAAAAUUCUAAGGCGCUUGAGAGAACUCAGGAGAAGGAACUCGGCAAAUUAACACCGUAACUUCGGGAGAAGGUGUGCCCCGGUAGCGUGUAGAGACUUGCUCUCGAAGCGCGAUGGGGUUGCAGUGAAAUGGUGGCUGCGACUGUUUAAUAAAGACACAGCACUCUGCAGACACGAAAGUGGACGUAUAGGGUGUGACGCCUGCCCGGUGCCGGAAGGUUAAGUGAUGGGGUGCAAGCUCUUGAUCGAAGCCCCGGUAAACGGCGGCCGUAACAAUAACGGUCCUAAGGUAGCGAAAUUCCUUGUCGGGUAAGUUCCGACCUGCACGAAUGGCGUAACGAUGGCCACACUGUCUCCUCCUGGGACUCAGCGAAGUUGAAAUGUUUGUGAAGAUGCAAUCUACCCGCGGCUAGACGGAAAGACCCCAUGAACCUUUACUGUAGCUUUGCAUUGGACUUUGAACCGGUUUGUGUAGGAUAGGUGGGAGACUGUGAAGCCGGGACGCUAGUUUCGGUGGAGUCAACCUUGAAAUACCACCCUGAUUUGUUUGAGGUUCUAACCUUGGUCCGUGAAUCCGGAUCGGGGACCGUGCAUGGUAGGCAGUUUGACUGGGGCGGUCUCCUCCCAAAAGGUAACGGAGGAGUACGAAGGUACGCUUAGGGCGGUCGGACAUCGCCCACAAAGUGCAAUGGCAAAAGCGUGCUUGACUGCGAGACCCACAAGUCGAGCAGGUACGAAAGUAGGUCAUAGUGAUCCGGUGGUUCUGUAUGGAAGGGCCAUCGCUCAACGGAUAAAAGGUACUCUGGGGAUAACAGGCUAAUUCCUCCCAAGAGUUCAUAUCGACGGGGGGAGUUUGGCACCUCGAUGUCGGCUCAUCACAUCCUGGGGCUGUAGUCGGUCCCAAGGGUAUGGCUGUUCGCCAUUUAAAGUGGUACGCGAGCUGGGUUUAAAACGUCGUGAGACAGUUUGGUCCCUAUCUGCCGUGGGCGCUGGAAAUUUGAAGGGGGCUGCUCCUAGUACGAGAGGACCGGAGUGGACGAACCUCUGGUGUACCGGUUAUGACGCCAGUCGUAUCGCCGGGUAGCUAAGUUCGGAAGAGAUAAACGCUGAAAGCAUCUAAGCGUGAAACUCGCCUUAAGAUAAGAUUUCCCGGAGU
rnacentral:rRNA from 1 species